UACGUAGGGUGCAAGCGUUGUCCGGAAUUAUUGGGCGUAAAGAGCUCGUAGGCGGUCUGUCGCGUCGGAUGUGAAAAUCCAGGGCUCAACCCUGGACCUGCAUUCGAUACGGGCAGACUAGAGUUCGGUAGGGGAGACUGGAAUUCCUGGUGUAGCGGUGAAAUGCGCAGAUAUCAGGAGGAACACCGGUGGCGAAGGCGGCAUCCUGGACCAACACUGACGCUGAGGAGCGAAAGCCAGGGGAGCAAACGGG
rnacentral:rRNA from 1 species